rnacentral:tmRNA from 1 species
GGGGAUGUUCAUGGCAUCGACAGGGUUGUGUUCGCAGUAACUGCAGCCGAGUGAUGACGUAAUCAUCAAACCAAAGAUAACUGGCAACAGAAAUCUUUCAUUCGCUGCCGCUUAAUUAAGCACCUAAAUACUGGUCUGGGUCUCUGACCCUGCAGCGCGCUUCCGGAGGUUUCGUCCCUCACGCUUCGGGCAAGUGUCAUAACAAGGGAAUAAGAUUCCAGGUUGACUAGCUGAAGAAUACGAAAACCUAUUAGUCUCGCGUCAGAUACUUCGAUGGUAUUGUCAUCUGGUGUUAAAAAUUAAUAUCGUCUAAGCUGUAGACGUUAUUGUGGGACCUUCUUUGGACCGGAGUUCGAUUCUCCGCAUCUCCACCA